UAGAGUUUGAUCCUGGCUCAGAACGAACGCUGGCGGCAGGCCUAACACAUGCAAGUCGAACGAGAAGCUGGCUUCGGUCAGUGGAGAGUGGCGCACGGGUGAGUAACGCGUGGGAAUUUGCCUUUCGGUACGGGAUAACGUCUGGAAACGGGCGCUAAUACCGUAUGAUGUCUACGGACCAAAGAUUUAUCGCCGAGAGAGGAGCCCGCGUAGGAUUAGGUAGUUGGUGAGGUAAAGGCUCACCAAGGCGACGAUCCAUAACUGGUCUGAGAGGAUGACCAGUCACACCGGAACUGAGACACGGUCCGGACUCCUACGGGAGGCAGCAGUGGGGAAUCUUGGACAAUGGGGGGAACCCUGAUCCAGCCAUGCCGC
rnacentral:rRNA from 1 species